GGCUCCGUAGUGUAGUGGUUAGCACAUCUUCUUUACAUGCAGUAGGUCUUGGGUUUGCACCCCAGGUGGAGCCA
rfam:Pteropus alecto contig30700, whole genome shotgun sequence.